rnacentral:rRNA from 2 species
AACCCUAGAGAUAGGGCUUUCCCUUCGGGGACAGAGUGACAGGUGGUGCAUGGUUGUCGUCAGCUCGUGUCGUGAGAUGUUGGGUUAAGUCCCGCAACGAGCGCAACCCUUGAUCUUAGUUGCCAGCAUUCAGUUGGGCACUCUAAGGUGACUGCCGGUGACAAACCGGAGGAAGGUGGGGAUGACGUCAAAUCAUCAUGCCCCUUAUGACCUGGGCUACACACGUGCUACAAUGGACAGAACAAAGGGCUGCGAGACCGCAAGGUUUAGCCAAUCCCACAAAUCUGUUCUCAGUUCGGAUCGCAGUCUGCAACUCGACUGCGUGAAGCUGGAAUCGCUAGUAAUCGCGGAUCAGCAUGCCGCGGUGAAUACGUUCCCGGGCCUUGUACACACCGCCCGUCACACCACGAGAGUUUGCAACACCCGAAGUCGGUGAGGUAACCUUUAUGGAGCCAGCCGCCG